rnacentral:rRNA from 1 species
UACGGAGGGUGCGAGCGUUAAUCGGAAUUACUGGGCGUAAAGCGCGUGUAGGUGGCUUGUUAAGCCAGAUGUGAAAGCCCCGGGCUCAACCUGGGAACUGCAUUUGGAACUGGCAGGCUAGAGUUUUGUAGAGGGUGGUAGAAUUUCAGGUGUAGCGGUGAAAUGCGUAGAGAUCUGAAGGAAUACCGGUGGCGAAGGCGACCACCUGGACAAAAACUGACACUCAGACGCGAAGGCGUGGGUAGCAAACGGG